rnacentral:rRNA from 1 species
GAUGAACGCUGGCGGCGUGCCUAAUACAUGCAAGUCGAACGCGAAGCCUGGUUUCGGCUGGGUGGAGAGUGGCGGACGGGUGAGUAACACAUGGCUGACCUGCCCUUCAGAGGGGGACAACUGCUGGAAACGGCAGCUAAUACCCCAUACGCUCGUGGUGGUUAGGGGACCACGAGGAAAGGCUGAGGUGCUGAGGGAGGGGGCUGUGGCCCAUCAGCUAGUUGGUAGGGUAAUGGCCUACCAAGGCGAGGACGGGUAGGGGGCCUGAGAGGGUGACCCCCCACACUGGAACUGAGAGACGGUCCAGACUCCUACGGGAGGCAGCAGUAAGGGAUAUUGCGACAAUGGGCGAGAGCCUGACGCAGCAACGCCGCGUGCGGGAGGAAGGCCUUCGGGUUGUAAACCGCUUUUGAGGGGAAGAGGAAGGACGGUACCCUUCGAAUAAGUCUCGGCUAACUACGUGCCAGCAGCCGCGGUAAACGUUAGUCGU